AGUCGAGGGGUAUUUAUCUUCGGAUAGAGAGACCGGCGCACGGGUGCGUAACGCGUAUGCAAUCUAUCUUUUACAGAGGGAUAGCCCAGAGAAAUUUGGAUUAAUACCUCAUAGUAUAUAGACUCGGCAUCGAGAUUAUAUUAAAGUCACAACGGUAAAAGAUGAGCAUGCGUCCCAUUAGCUAGUUGGUAAGGUAACGGCUUACCAAGGCUACGAUGGGUAGGGGUCCUGAGAGGGAGAUCCCCCACACUGGUACUGAGACACGGACCAGACUCCUACGGGAGGCAGCAGUGAGGAAUAUUGGACAAUGGGCGCAAGCCUGAUCCAGCCAUGCCGCGUGCAGGAUGACGGUCCUAUGGAUUGUAAACUGCUUUUAUACGAGAAGAAACACUACUUCGUGAAGUAGCUUGACGGUAUCGUAAGAAUAAGGAUCGGCUUACUCCGUGCCAGCAGCCGCGGUAAUACGGAGGAUCCAAGCGUUAUCCGGAAUCAUUGGGUUUAAAGGGUCCGUAGGCGGUUUAAUAAGUCAGUGGUGAAAGCCCAUCGCUCAACGGUGGAACGGCCAUUGAUACUGUUAAACUUGAAUUAUUAGGAAGUAACUAGAAUAUGUAGUGUAGCGGUGAAAUGCUUAGAGAUUACAUGGAAUACCAAUUGCGAAGGCAGGUUACUACUAAUGGAUUGACGCUGAUGGACGAAAGCGUGGGUAGCGAACAGGAUUAGAUACCCUGGUAGU
rnacentral:rRNA from 1 species